rnacentral:tRNA from 1 species
GUUUUUAUAGUGUAAUUAAACACCUUACAUUUUCAUUGUAAAACUGAAAUUUUUUUUCUAAAAACU